GCCUCUGUAGUGCAUUUGAAUAGCACGCACCCUCGGAAAGGGUGGAAUACGGGUUCGAUUUCCGCCUGAGGUU